UACGUAGGGUGCGAGCGUUGUCCGGAAUUAUUGGGCGUAAAGGGCUUGUAGGCGGUUUGUCGCGUCUGCCGUGAAAAUCCGGGGCUCAACUCCGGAUCUGCGGUGGGUACGGGCAGACUAGAGUGAUGUAGGGGAGACUGGAAUUCCUGGUGUAGCGGUGAAAUGCGCAGAUAUCAGGAGGAACACCGAUGGCGAAGGCAGCUCGCUGGGACGGUACUGACGCUGAGGCGCGAAAGCGUGGGGAGCAAACAGG
rnacentral:rRNA from 1 species